AGUGAACGCUGGCGGUAGGCCUAACACAUGCAAGUCGAACGGCAGCACAGUAAGGGCUUGCUCUUACGGGUGGCGAGUGGCGGACGGGUGAGGAAUACAUCGGAAUCUACUUUUUCGUGGGGGAUAACGUAGGGAAACUUACGCUAAUACCGCAUACGACCUACGGGUGAAAGCAGGGGAUCUUCGGACCUUGCGCGAUUGAAUGAGCCGAUGUCGGAUUAGCUAGUUGGCGGGGUAAAGGCCCACCAAGGCGACGAUCCGUAGCUGGUCUGAGAGGAUGAUCAGCCACACUGGAACUGAGACACGGGCCAGACUCCUACGGGAGGCAGCAGUGGGGAAUAUUGGACAAUGGGCGGAAGCCUGAUCCAGCCAUACCGCGUGGGUGAAGAAGGCCUUCGGGUUGUAAAGCCCUUUUGUUGGGAAAGAAAAGCAGCAGGUUAAUACCCCGCUGUUCUGACGGUACCCAAAGAAUAAGCACCGGCUAACUUCGUG
rnacentral:rRNA from 1 species